rnacentral:rRNA from 1 species
UACGUAGGGCGCAAGCGUUGUCCGGAAUUAUUGGGCGUAAAGAGCUUGUAGGCGGUUUGUCGCGUCUGCUGUGAAAUUUCGGGGCUCAACCCCCGAACUUGCAGUGGGUACGGGCAGACUAGAGUGUGGUAGGGGAGACUGGAAUUCCUGGUGUAGCGGUGAAAUGCGCAGAUAUCAGGAGGAACACCGAUGGCGAAGGCAGGUCUCUGGGCAUUAACUGACGCUGAGGAGCGAAAGCAUGGGGAGCGAACAGG